AUUGAACGCUGGCGGCAGGCCUAACACAUGCAAGUCGAGCGAGAAAGCCUUCGGGUGAGUACAGCGGCGGACGGGUGAGUAACGCGUAGGAAUCUACCUGGUAGUGGGGGACAACAUGGGGAAGCCCAUGCUAAUACCGCAUACGCCCUAUGGGGGAAAGCGGGGGACCUUCGGGCCUCGCGCUAUCAGAUGAGCCUGCGUAGGAUUAGCUUGUUGGUGAGGUAAAGGCUCACCAAGGCGACGAUCCUUAGCUGGUCUGAGAGGAUGAUCAGCCACACUGGAACUGAGACACGGUCCAGACUCCUACGGGAGGCAGCAGUGGGGAAUAUUGCGCAAUGGGCGAAAGCCUGACGCAGCCAUGCCGCGUGUGUGAAGAAGGCC
rnacentral:rRNA from 1 species